AAGCCAGCCAAUUAAUCUGCUCAUCUGAACGUGUUUCUGAAGAAAUUUAGAAACAGCUGGCAAUAGUGAUACCAUCUUGUGAGCCUUAAGGACAAAUAAGGUCAUUAUACUCCCUCAAAAUGGCUACAAUA
ensembl:snoRNA